ACUUGCUUAGCUCAGUUGGUAGAGUGCUGUCUUUACACGGCAGUUGUCGUAGGUUCGAUCCCUGCAGCAAGUACCA
rnacentral:tRNA from 1 species